UACGUAGGGGGCAAGCGUUGUCCGGAAUUAUUGGGCGUAAAGAGCGUGUAGGCGGCCAGAUAAGUCCGCUGUGAAAUCUCGAGGCUCAACUUCGAGCUGUCGGUGGAAACUAUCUGGCUAGAGUCCGGAAGAGGAGAAUGGAAUUCCUGGUGUAGCGGUGAAAUGCGUAGAUAUCAAGAGGAACACCUGCGGCGAAGGCGGGUUGCUGGGCUGACACUGACGCUGAAGCGCGAAAGCCAGGGGAGCGAACGGG
rnacentral:rRNA from 1 species